UGGGGGCGCAGUCACGCCGGGGCCGACCGGCCGCGAACGCCCGCGGGGAGCGGGAGAGGGUUUGCUCUGGCUACGGAGCUGGGAGCAGGGUGCUGGUGACGGGGCUCCCAGCACCUACUCAGUACCCUUCACCCAACCCCUGCCUCGGGCGUGGACUCCCGGCGGAGGCUCUGGGAGCCGGGCUGAGGGCUUGAGCCUAGCGUAUCUGGGAGAACUGGAGAGAGGAGUCUCAGAUGGCUAAAGUCAGGGGCGCCAGUUGGAGAGCCGGUGGCUCCUCCGAUACUCACACGCCCGGAUUUAACCAGUUCAGGGAGGGCCCAGAACCUAGACCUCCACCAGUCAUGGUGGGCUGUGUCUCCCACCUCCCCAGGGCAACCCAGAUCCAGCCCCCAACCUACCCCGGGCCCAUUCCUGUGUGGGCACCCGGACCCUACCCUUGCCCCACAGAGUGGCCCGCAGCCCCUGGCGGGGAGAGCAAGGGCUGUGAUUGGGGCCCAACAGAAACAGGAUAUUCAGAAGGGGCUUUCCCUCCUGAGGGACCACAUCUCCAAGCUUCAGACUUCCAGACAAGUCCCAGGGCACGGACGUGACCCAUUACGAACAGGCAGUGAAGCUGUGGCAGGGCUGGAGCUGCCCCAGGCUCUGGCAUCAUCCCCGAGGGCUGGAGCUCACUCCCCGCUAGAGGCUUUUCCGGACCCCACGUCCACAGGCAGGUGCAUCUGGUGAAGCUUUCGGCCACAGUGAGUCAUGGCAUAGCCAACGGGUGACACAGCACGAGGCACCCCCCCCGCCCCCCUCCACUGUCUCUUGUGAGCAGAGUUAAUCCCCAAGCUGGUGUUUCUUGGCGCCUUCGAGGUGUAUUUUAAAUUCUGCAAAGUGACUAAAAAUAUGCUUCAGCGUGCUGGGUAUGAAUGACUGUGACGGGAGGGUUAGGAAAACAGAUUUCAUUCUCAAAGUUGCCUGCUGCCUCUUUCCAGCUCGCUGAGCUCAGGCCUGCAAAGGCGGAUGGGGGGAGUUCCCCAUGGUGGCCUGGCAUGACGGGUGAUUAACAAACAAGGACAGAGAGCUAGGAGCUCCGUGGGGCUAGAACCCGGCCCCAGCAAUGAUCUCGUAAGUGUGUGAUGGUGCCAGCAGGUGGACAGAGUCCAGCUGUGGGAGGCUGCCCAGCUGUGGAACUGUGUCUAGUGGUGAAGGAGGCACAACCACAACUCUAGACCCAAGCCCAGGGUCCCCUUCCCGUGCCCCAAAACUCCUCAUCCCUUUGGCCACAGUCCUGUCCAGGUGGACACUUUCGGCCUUGACAGAAAGGGGAGCAUUCUCUUUCUGCUGCCUUCCCUUUUCACCACUGGGAAGGUCCCAGAGCAGGGGAAGAGGGUGGCAUGAGCCUUUCAAACCUGGGGGACCUCUGAGCUGCCACCAAGCAAGCCAGCCCUUCCCACUGUGUUUCACUGGGGUUUCAACUCAAAGGCAGCCUCUAGAAUAAGUCCUUGUGUGGGAUAAGGGGCCACCAAGGGCAGAGGGACAGGGAGGACAAGAAGCCCUUUCUGGUUGUGCAGCCCAGGACAAAUCCCUACAGCCUUCUGAGAAGCUCUGGCAGUAACCUGGGGCUGUCAGACAGAGGACUGGUAGGGUUCUUUCCUCCAUCUCGCCAAUGAAGAAACUGAGGCCCAGGGAAAAGAAGUAAUUUGCCCAAGGUCGAACACCUGGUAAAUGACAGUGCAUGGACUAAACCCAGGAACCCAGCACAGAAACAGCUUCCUCCGGGAAGCCUUCCCCGGCCCACCUGAACAACCAUUUCCUCCUCUGGGCUAUUGAGUAACCUGUGUAUCCUUCCAUCACACCAACACUGUGCUGAUUUUUGUCUGUGCAAGAAUCUGUCCCCCGCCCUUCACCAACAGACCGUGAGCCUCGAGGGCCCGUACCCUUUCUGAUUCAUCUCCACGAGCCAGUACAGAGGAGGUGCUCAAAGAAUGUUUGUUGAUUGAAUGAGUAAAUGACAUUUAGCAGGUGCUCAGGAAAUGUACAUUGAUUUGCAUCACGCGUCUGUUGCUCUGAAUGACUCAGAAACCAGAUUCGUCUCCUGGUUCCUCUGGAAAAGGCAUUUUCUUCCUGAUUGACUCCACCCUCCAUUAGCUUCCACCUGCUGUUUGCCUCCACCCUUUGAUUAGCCUUCCCCGCAGGUCACCACCCACGGUGGGGAGAAGGCACCUCCUCUCUGCUCUUGCUGUUGCCAAGCUGAGGACUGGUUGGGGCCCCCGUUCCCUCCCCCAGCCCGAGCCUAUCUUUGCUCAGAACGCUUCGUCUCUGCCUCUCUCUCCUGCUCAGAACAGAUGGCUCUGAGUCCCCACUAACACAGAAGUUCCUGUUCUGCCAUUUGAACAUUUUUAACACUUUCUACAUUACAGAAGCUUCAGUCUCUUUUCAUCAUGGAUGCAGACUAUCAGAAAUAAAGACUCCACCGAAGGGCAUCGAGUCCAGCCUCUUCCCCAUCCCAUGGAGAGGCUGCACCUCAGAGAUGGCCAGUGGCCUGCCCGAGAUAUUGUAGUGGAUGCUACCUUUGUUUUUGU
rnacentral:lncRNA from 1 species